GGCAACUCCUUCUCGUCCUUGCACUGGCGUCGCCGGUUAACGGUCGGCUCUCUCCCAAACAGUUCUCUUCCUCCUACCACCGACCACCCAAAGCUCCGGAUCCCUCCAAAUCGCCGAUCAUCUCUCUCUUUUUCCCUCUUUAACGUCGCUCGGUCUGAUCUCCAGAUCUCUCUUAAUCGCCAGCCGGUCGGCUCUCUCUCUUUUCCUAAGAUCGGCGACCGUUCAGAUCUCCCCUAAACAGCCCUCUUCUAUGCCCACAAGUAACCCGAAAACCCCAAACCUUUCCCCUAAAACCGACGGGAUAAAGAAAACCCCAAGGCUCUCUACCCCUUUUUGUUUUUUUGGUCUCUCUUUUUUUAUUUUGGUUGUGGUUUUUCGGCUACUAGGAAACUUAUGAAUUUUUUUAGGUUGUUUUUUAUUUUUUAUUUUUGCUUCAUGUUGUGGCUCCCGAUCCCCCGGUUGCUACAGUGCUUUAUACACUCGGCUUUUGACCGAGUGUAGUGCCUCUACUACCCUGCCAGACAUGAAUUUUUUGCGUCUGGCAGGGUGAGGGAGGUGCCUGGCAGGGUGCGUCCGCACCCUGCCAGUCGUACCCUCUCCCCUUUUCUCUUUCUUUUUUUUUUUUAUUUUUUUUUUAAUUAUUUUUUUUGUUUCUAAUUUUAUUACAAUUUAAGUGUCUACAAUAUGGUGAUGUGAUGACAGCCUCAUCAUCACCUCACUAUCUAUGUCUCUACCACAGCCCAUGGAUUGCCUAUCUAUGUGUGUGGAAGAAACGGAAAAGAAAAUAACAAGAGCCAGAAUGCCACAUGAAAGAAAAGGAACGCGACAGCAUCAUCUGUAUACGUGCAGGCUAGAAUAUUCCCAGUCAAAGUCACCUAAGAUAAAGCCAACAGUAAAUGAAAAAGAAGGUCAUAGUGAUCCUAUCAGGCUCCAUAACUUAUUUUGUCUGAUUGAAUCUUAGAGUUUGUUCAAACUUUUCAGCUUCAACCUGUCUGUUCCUUAAUUUCUAUCUUUGCUUAGCUCUGGAGUUUGAUGCACAUUAACAUUAGUUAAUGCCCAUUGAACUGUUUUAACUUGUAUUGCUCAUUCAAUAAAUUGUUGCUUCUUACCGUA
rnacentral:lncRNA from 1 species